rnacentral:rRNA from 1 species
UUUAUGGAGAGUUUGAUCCUGGCUCAGGAUGAACGCUGGCGGCGUGCCUAAUACAUGCAAGUCGAGCGAACGGACGAGAAGCUUGCUUCUCUGAUGUUAGCGGCGGACGGGUGAGUAACACGUGGAUAACCUACCUAUAAGACUGGGAUAACUUCGGGAAACCGGAGCUAAUACCGGAUAAUAUUUUGAACCGCAUGGUUCAAAAGUGAAAGACGGUCUUGCUGUCACUUAUAGAUGGAUCCGCGCUGCAUUAGCUAGUUGGUAAGGUAACGGCUUACCAAGGCAACGAUGCAUAGCCGACCUGAGAGGGUGAUCGGCCACACUGGAACUGAGACACGGUCCAGACUCCUACGGGAGGCAGCAGUAGGGAAUCUUCCGCAAUGGGCGAAAGCCU